AAUCCUGGUGGCGAGUGGCGAACGGGUAGAGUAAAUAUAGUCGACGUGCCCAGUCGUGGGGGGAUAACGUAGCGAAAGCUACGCUAAUACCGCAUACGAUCUAUGGAUGAAAGCGGGGGAUCGCAAGACCUCGCGCGAUUGGAGCGGCCGAUAUCAGAUUAGGUAGUUGGUGAGGUAAAGGCUCACCAAGCCGACGAUCUGUAGCUGGUCUGAGAGACGACCAGGCCACACUGGGACUGACGACACGGCCCAGACUCCUACGGGAGGCAGCAGUGGGGGAAUUUUGGACAAUGGGCGCAAGCCUGAUCCAGCAAUGCCGCGUGCAGGAUGAAGGCCUUCGGGUUGUAAACUGCUUUUGUACGGAACGAAACGGUGAGCUCUAAUACAGUUUGCUAAUGACGGUACCGUAAGAAUAAGCACCGGCUAACUACGUG
rnacentral:rRNA from 1 species